rnacentral:rRNA from 1 species
CAAAAGCGUAUAUUGAAGUUGUUGCAGUUAAAAAGCUCGUAGUUGAACCUUGGGCUUGGCUGGCCGGUCCAUCUUUUUUGAUGCGUACUGGACCCAGCCGAGCCUUUCCUUCUGGCUAGCCUUUUGGCGAACCAGGACUUUUACUUUGAAAAAAUUAGAGUGUUCAAAGCAGGCCUUUGCUCGAAUAUAUUAGCAUGGAAUAAUAGAAUAGGACGUUAUGGUUCUAUUUUGUUGGUUUCUAGGACCAUCGUAAUGAUUAAUAGGGACGGUCGGGGGUAUCAGUAUUCAGUUGUCAGAGGUGAAAUUCUUGGAUUUACUGAAGACUAACUACUGCGAAAGCAUUUACCAAGGACGUUUUCAUUAA